rnacentral:rRNA from 1 species
CCUACGGGAGGCAGCAGUGGGGAAUAUUGGACAAUGGGCGAAAGCCUGAUCCAGCCAUGCCGCGUGUGUGAAGAAGGCCUUCGGGUUGUAAAGCACUUUCAGUGGGGAAGAAAGCCUUGGGGCUAAUACCCUCGAGGAAGGACAUCACCCACAGAAGAAGCACCGGCUAACUCCGUGCCAGCAGCCGCGGUAAUACGGAGGGUGCGAGGCGUUAAUCGGAAUUACUGGGCGUAAAGCGCGCGUAGGCGGUCUGAUAAGCCGGUUGUGAAAGCCCCGGGCUCAACCUGGGAACGGCAUCCGGAACUGUCAGGCUAGAGUGCAGGAGAGGAAGGUAGAAUUCCCGGUGUAGCGGUGAAAUGCGUAGAGAUCGGGAGGAAUACCAGUGGCGAAGGCGGCCUUCUGGACUGACACUGACGCUGAGGUGCGAAAGCGUGGGUAGCAAACAGGAUUAGAUACCCCAGUAGUC